CAGAAGUGCGAAUGCUGACAUGAGUAACGACAAUGCGAGUGAAAAACUCGCACGCUGAAAGACCAAGGGUUCCAGUCCAACGUUAAUCGGGGCUGGGUGAGUCGACCCCUAAGGCGAGGCCGAAAGGCGUAGUCGAUGGGAAAUUGGUUAAUAUUCCAAUACUUCUAUGUAAUGCGAUGAGAGGACGGAGAAGGUUAAGUCAGCCUGGCGUUGGUUGUCCAGGUGGAAGGUUGUAGGCAUGUAUCUUAGGCAAAUCCGGGGUACUCUAUGCUGAGAACUGAUAGCAAGCUGUACUUGUACAGUGAAGUGGCUGAUACCAUGCUUCCAGGAAAAGUCUCUAAGCUUCAGUUACAUAGGAAUCGUACCCGAAACCGACACAGGUGGUCAGGUCGAGUAGACCAAAGCGCUUGAGAGAACUCUGCUGAAGGAACUAGGCAAAAUGGUACCGUAACUUCGGGAGAAGGUACGCUGCCGACGGUGAUAGGAUUUACUCCUUGAGCUAUUGGCAGCCACAGAAACCAGGCCCCUGCAACUGUUUAUUAAAAACAUAGCACUCUGCAAACACGAAAGUGGACGUAUAGGGUGUGAUGCCUGCCCGGUGCUGGAAGGUUAAUUGAUGGGGUUAGCGUAAGCGAAGCUCUUGAUCGAAGCCCCAGUAAACGGCGGCCGUAACUAUAACG
rnacentral:rRNA from 11 species